GUGCUCGCUUUGGCAGCACAUAUACUAAAAUCAGAACAAAACAGACAAGAUCAGCAUGGCCCCUGUGCAAGGAUGACACACAAAUUCGUGAUGCGUUCCAUAUUAAA
ensembl:snRNA U6 U6 spliceosomal RNA